CCUACGGGAGGCAGCAGUCGGGAAUUUUGGGCAAUGGGGGAAACCCUGACCCAGCAACGCCGCGUGAAGGAUGAAGUAUUUCGGUAUGUAAACUUCGAAAGAAUAGGAAGAAUUAAUGACGGUACUAUUUAUAAGGUCCGGCUAACUACGUGCCAGCAGCCGCGGUAAUACGUAGGGACCAAGCGUUGUUCGGAUUUACUGGGCGUAAAGGGCGCGUAGGCGGCGCGGUAAGUCACUUGUGAAAUCUCUGAGCUUAACUCAGAACGGCCAAGUGAUACUGCAGUGCUAGAGUGUGGAAGGGGCAAUCGGAAUUCUUGGUGUAGCGGUGAAAUGCGUAGAUAUCAAGAGGAGCACCUGAGGUGAAGACGGGUUGCUGGGCCAACACUGACGCUGAGGCGCGAAAGCCAGGGGAGCAAACGGGAUUAGAUACCCCGGUAGUCCUGGCCCUAAACGAUGAAUACUUGGUGUCUGGAGUUUUAAUGCUCCGGGUGCCGUCGCUAACGUUUUAGUAUUCCGCCUGGGGAGUACGCUCGCAAGAGUGAAACUCAAAGGAAUUGACGG
rnacentral:rRNA from 1 species